UUUGGGAAAUGAUGCAAAUAUCAAAACAGAUCACAUGAGCGCAGUGCUCUGUCUGAGCUGCUGAAUAUUUCUUUUGCACGUCAGUCUGAUCCCAAA